UUUCCGGCUCGCGUGGGUGUG
rnacentral:miRNA from 2 species